GGUGUGGGAGUUGAUGGAGGCAAUGACAAGGAUUGGGAAGCUAAUGCUUGCAAAAUCCAGCUCAUUAAGAAGAAAGGAAAAGUUAAGGCACUGGAUGAAGAAGUUCACAAGCAACAGGAUGUGGAUUUGGAUAUAGAAUUUGAUGUACACCUUGGAAUAGCUCAUACCCAUUGGGCAACACAUGGAGAACCCAGUCCUGUUAAUAGCCACCCUCAGCGCUCUGAUAAAAAUAAUGAAUUUAUUGUUAUUCACAAUGGAAUCAUUACCAACUACAAAGACUUGAACAAGGUUUUGGAAAGCAAAGGCUAUGACUUUGAAUCUGAAACAGACACAGAGACAAUUGCCAGGCUUGUUAAGUAUAUGUAUGACAAUCGGGAAAGUCAAGAUACCAGUUUUACCACCUUGGUGGAGAGAGUUAUUCAACAAUUGGAAGGUGCUUUUGCACUUAUACUUAAAAGUGUUCAUUUUCCUGGGCAAGCAGUUGGUACAAAGUGAGGUAGCCCUCUGUUGAUUGGUGUUCGGAGUGAACAUAAACAUUCUACUGGUCACAUUCCAAUACUCUACAGAACAGGCAAAUAUAAGAAAAGAAGCUGCAAUCUCUCUUGUGUGGACAGCACAACUUGCCUUUUCCCUGUUGAAGAAAAAGCAGUGGAGUAUUACUUUGCCUCCGAUGCAAGAGCCGUCACAGAACACACCAAUCACAUUAUCUUUCUAGAAGAUGAUGAUGUUGCAGUAGUGGUGGAUGGCCGUCUUUCUAUCUAUCGAAUUAAACGGACUGCAGGAGACCACCCUGGACAAGCUGUGCACGCACUCCAGAUGGAACUCCAGCAGAUCAUGAAGGGCAACUUCAGUUCAUUUAUGCAGAAGGAAAUUUUUGAGGAGCCAGAGUCCGUUGUGAACACAAUGAGAGGAAGAGUCAACUUUGAUGACUAUACUGUGAAUUUGGGUGGUUUGAAGGAUCACAUUAAGGAAAUCCAGAGGUGUCGACGUUUGAUUCUUAUUGCUUGUGGAACAAGUUACCAUGCUGGUGUAGCAAUACGUCAGGUUCUUGAGGAGUUGACUGAGUUGCCUGUGAUGGUGGAGCUAGCCAGUGACUUCCUGGAUAGAAACACACCAGUCUUUUGAGAUGAUGUUUGCUUUUUCCUUAGUCAAUCAAGUGAGACAGCAGAUACCCUGAUGGGUCUUCAGUACUGUAAGGAGAGAGGAGCUUUAACUGUCAGGAUCACAAACACAGUCAGCAGUUCUAUAUCAAGGGAGACAGAUUGUGGAGUUCACAUUAACACUGGUCCUGAGAUUGGUGUGGCCAGUACAAAGGCUUAUACCAGCCAGUUUGUAUCCCUUGUGAUGUUCGCCCUCAUGAUGUGUGAUGACAGGAUCUCCAUGCAAGAGAGACGCAAAGAGAUCAUGCUUGGAUUGAAACGGCUACCUGAUUUGAUUAAGGAAGUACUGAGCAUGGAUGAUGAAAUUCAGAAACUGGCAACAAAACUUUAUCAUCAGAAGUCAGUCCUGAUAAUGUGAUGGGGCUAUCAUUAUGCUACUUGUCUUGAAGGGGCACUGAAAAUCAAAGAAAUUACUUACAUGCACUCUGAAGGCAACCUUGCUGGGGAAUUGAAACACGGCCCUCUGGCUUUGGUGGAUAAGUUGAUGCCUGUUAUCAUGAUCAUCAUGAGACAUCACACACCAAGUGUCAGAAUGCUCUUCAGCAGGUGGUUGCUCCGCAGGGGCGCCCUGUGGUGAUUUGUGAUAAGGAGGAUACUGAGACCAUCAAGAAAACAAAAAGAACAAUCAAGGUGCCCCACUCAGUGGACUGCUUGAAGGGCAUUCUCAGUGUGAUCCCCUUGCAGUUGCUGGCUUUCCACCUAGCUGUGCUGAGAGGCUAUGAUGUUGAUUUCCCAUGGAAUCUUGCCAAAUCUGUGACUGUAGAGUAAAGAGCAUCUGAAACGCCAGAUGAUUA